rnacentral:lncRNA from 10 species
UAGCAAUUAGAAAAGGGAACAUCUCCAGUGCCUGGAGCUCCAAAUGCCCAGACUGAACUUGAAUCUCCUGCAACACAGACAAAAGAUUGGUCAUCAGCUAACCUCAGGACACAGCUCACCUCCAUUUUCUCAGAUACACCUAUGGCAGAGUCUUGCUCUGUCGCCCAGGCUGGGGCACACUGUAGACAGGAUUUCACCAUGUUGGCCAGGCUGAUCUCGAACUCUUGACCUCAAGCGAUCCACCCGCCUCGGCCUCCCAAAGCGCUGGGAUUACAGGCGUGAGUCACUGCGCCCGGCUGGGUUUAGGUCUGAAUUUCCUGCAAGUUCCCAGAGCAUGCCAGGCUGCUGAGGGCCAUUGCUUGAGUGGCGAGGCUCUCUGCAAACUGACAGUCUAAGCUGAGACAGAUAAUGCAAGAAUACAGCCCAAAUUUGGAACCUGCCACCAGGAGGAGGUGGCAGGAAUACAGAGGGAAGCCAGGCCCAGAGAACUCAGGGAAGCGAUGGAGAUGGAAACUCAGAUUAAAUUCUGAAGGAAGCCGGUGAAGGAAGCUGGAUCUGAAACUCUUCAGGGCUGCAAUAGCGUUGGUCCAGGAGCCCCUGCGGGUGGGGAGUGAAAACCCUAAGCCAAGCCCAGAUUGGGGACAGGGUUUCGCUGGUAGCAGGGCCCGGGAAGGGGGAACCCAGAAGCGCUCAGGAGGUGGCGCCAUAGCACAGAGAUUGAGUGGGUCCAGGACUGUGGGUUCAAAUCCUGCCUCUGCCUUUUAUGGGCUGUGUGAGUUUGAGCAACUUACUCAGCCUCUCUAAGCUUCAGUUUCCCUCAUGCAUGAAGUGGACACAAUACACACACAAAAACUGCUUACGUGUUCUUAGAGUUUUGAGAUUUGUAGGGAGGUUUCCUGUUUCUUAUUGCUUAAUAUUGGUCAUCGAUACAUUCUGUCUCGCUCUCUCUUAUUUUUUAAAAUGUUAUUAAUUUUUAUCAGGCACUCUCUGAGCCAGAGUAGUCUCAGAGACUCCCUCAUUUUUUCUUUUCUUUUUUUUUUUUUUUUUUUUUUUUUUUUGAGAUAGAGUCUCGCUCUGUCACCCAGAUUAGAGUGCAAUGGUGCAAUCUUGGCUUACUGCGACCUCCGCCUCCCAGGUUCAAGCAAUUCUCCUGCCUCAGCCUCCUGAGUAGCUGGGACUAUAGGUGCACUCCACGAUGCCCGGCUUAUUUUUUGUAUUUUUAGUAGAGACGAGGUUUCACCAUGUUGGCCAGGCUGGUCUCAAACUCCUGACCACAGGUGAUCCACCGGCCUCAGCCUCACAAAGUGCUGGGAU